rnacentral:rRNA from 1 species
AGCAGCCGCGGUAAUUCCAGCUCCAAUAGCGUAUAUUAAAGUUGUUGCAGUUAAAAAGCUCGUAGUUGAAUUUCGGGAUCAAUAUGUUGGUCGUGCCUUGGUACGUACUGGCAUUAUUGGUUCCUACCUUCUGAAGAACCUCGAUGUCAUUAAUUUGGUGUCUUGGGGAAUCAGGACUGUUACUUUGAAAAAAUUAGAGUGUUUAAAGCAGGCUCGCGCUUGAAUACAUUAGCAUGGAAUAAUGAAAUAGGACGUUUGAUUCUAUUUUGUUGGUUUCUAGGAUCGACGUAAUGAUUAAUAGGGAUAGUUGGGGGCAUUAGUAUUCAAUUGUCAGAGGUGAAAUUCUUGGAUUUAUUGAAGACUAACUACUGCGAAAGCAUUUGCCAAGGAUGUUUUCAUUAAUCAAGAACGAAAGUUAGGGGAUCGAAGACGAUCAGAUACCGUCGUAGUCUUAACCAUAAACUAUGCCGACUAGGGAUCGGAUGAUGUAAUUUUUAAUGACUCAUUCGGCGCCUUACGG